rnacentral:rRNA from 1 species
UGGGGAAUUUUGGACAAUGGGCGAAAGCCUGAUCCAGCAAUGCCGCGUGUGUGAAGAAGGCCUUCGGGUUGUAAAGCACUUUUGUCCGGAAAGAAAUCCUUGGCUCUAAUACAGUCGGGGGAUGACGGUACCGGAAGAAUAAGCACCGGCUAACUACGUGCCAGCAGCCGCGGUAAUACGUAGGGUGCAAGCGUUAAUCGGAAUUACUGGGCGUAAAGCGUGCGCAGGCGGUUUGCUAAGACCGAUGUGAAAUCCCCGGGCUCAACCUGGGAACUGCAUUGGUGACUGGCAGGCUAGAGUAUGGCAGAGGGGGGUAGAAUUCCACGUGUAGCAGUGAAAUGCGUAGAGAUGUGGAGGAAUACCGAUGGCGAAGGCAGCCCCCUGGGCCAAUACUGACGCUCAUGCACGAAAGCGUGGGGAGCAAAACAGGAUUAGAUACCCUGGUAGUCCACGCCCUAAAACGAUGUCAACUAGUUGUUGGGGAUUCAUUUCCUUAGUAACAUAGCUAACGCGUGAAGUUGACCGCCUGGGGAGUACGGUCGCAAGAUUAAAAACUU